rnacentral:rRNA from 4 species
GUUAUAUGGUCAAGUGAAGAAGCGCAUACGGUGGAUGCCUUGGCAGUCAGAGGCGAUGAAAGACGUGGUAGCCUGCGAAAAGCUUCGGGGAGUCGGCAAACAGACUUUGAUCCGGAGAUGUCUGAAUGGGGGAACCCACCUAACAUAAGUUAGGUAUCUUAAGCUGAAUACAUAGGCUUAAGAAGCGAACCAGGGGAACUGAAACAUCUAAGUACCCUGAGGAAAAGAAAUCAACCGAGAUUCCCUUAGUAGUGGCGAGCGAACGGGGACCAGCCCUUAAGCUGUAUUGAUGUUAGCGGAACGCUCUGGAAAGUGCGGCCAUAGUGGGUGAUAGCCCUGUACGCGAAAACAUCUUUACAGUGAAAUCGAGUAGGACGGAGCACGAGAAACUUUGUCUGAAUAUGGGGGGACCAUCCUCCAAGGCUAAAUACUAC